AGAGUUUGAUCAUGGCUCAGGACGAACGCUGGCGGCGUGCCUAAUACAUGCAAGUCGAACGGGGUUGCACGGCGGAAGCCUUCGGGUGGAAGCUGUGCAGCCUAGUGGCGGACGGGUGAGUAACGCGUGGGCAACCUGCCCUCCAGCCCGGGAUAACUUCCGGAAACGGGAGCUAAUCCCGGAUGCGGAGCAAAGGACGCAUGUUUUUUGCUCGAAAGCUUCGGCGCUGGAGGAUGGGCCCGCGUCCCAUUAGCUAGUUGGUGAGGUAACGGCUCACCAAGGCGACGAUGGGUAGCCGGCCUGAGAGGGUGAACGGCCACACUGGGACUGAGACACGGCCCAGACUCCUACGGGAGGCAGCAGUAGGGAAUCUUGCGCAAUGGGCGAAAGCCUGACGCAGCGACGCCGCGUGAGGGAAGAAGGCCUUCGGGUCGUAAACCUCUGUCCUUGGGGACGAUGAUGACGGUACCCAAGGAGGAAGCCCCGGCUAACUACGUGCCAGCAGCCGCGGUAAUACGUAGGGGGCGAGCGUUGUCCGGAAUCACUGGGCGUAAAGGGUGCGUAGGCGGCUUGGCAAGUCCUGUGUGAAAGGUCGCGGCUCAACCGCGGUGGGUCAUGGGAAACUGCCAAGCUCGAGUGCCGGAGAGGAUAGCGGAAUUCCCGGUGUAGCGGUGAAAUGCGUAGAGAUCGGGAGGAACACCAGUGGCGAAGGCGGCUAUCUGGAAGGUCACUGACGCUGAGGCACGACAGCUGGGGGAGCAAACAGGAUUAGAUACCCUGGUAGUCCCAGCCGUAAACGAUGAGUGCUAGGUGUUGCGGGUAUCGACCCCUGCAGUGCCGAAGUCAACACAAUAAGCACUCCGCCUGGGGAGUACGGCCGCAAGGCUGAAACUCAAAGGAAUUGACGG
rnacentral:rRNA from 1 species